UCCACCCACCCACCCAUCCAUCCAUCCACCCACCCACCCACAAAUCCACACAUCCACAAUCUUCCUGUCCACCUGUCCAUCCAUCUCCCCACCCUUCCAUACAUCCACCCCCCCACCCACCCACUCCUCCCUCCCUCCCUCCAUUCCUGGUCUCCCUUUGGUGUCAGUGCCGUAGCAGAGCAGCAGUUCCACCACCCAAGGGUUAAGGGAUCGGCGUUGCCACGGCGUUGGUGGCACUUGGUGGCACUCGCCCUCCUGAGCCCAAUAAAAGCCACCCCUUGGCCUGGUGCAGAGCAGUGCCGUGCAGGGAUCGGUGCCACGAUGCUGCGCGUCCCGGUGCUGCUGCUGCUGGCGGCCCUCACUGCCACCACCCAGGGACAGACCGCGGGCUCCCAGCAGCUGCAGCCGUGGCUGAUCGGUCUCACGGCGGUGGUGGUUUUCCUAUUCGUGGUUUUCGUGCUGCUGUUGGCGGGGCGGCUUUGGCGACUGCGGACGCGCAGAGAACACGAGGACGACUCGGAGAAGCGAUCGACCCACAGCAUGGAGCGUGCAGCCUACAUCAACGCCGCGGCCGAGAGAGACAGCGACGACGAACGGGAGAAGAGCAAAGCCACGUCGCUGUGACACGCGUGGGCUUCCCGGGCCGCUCCGUUCCGCGCCGCGUUUUGCGGAGCUCCGUUCGGCCGGCGGCAAAACCCGGAGCGGAUCGCAGCGGGAUGGAGCGGGGCGGGGGGGGGGCUGUGGGGGUACCCCAUAAAGCUGCCGGCCCGCAGUGUGAGGUGUGGUGUCACGAGUGGGAACAGAGAGCUGGGGGAGGGCGACAGAACGGGGGGGGCACCGGGAGGGGGUCGGAUGUCACGUGGCUGAGGGGUGAUGGUGGGGGGGUGGGGGGGCGGCAGCGCCGCACGUGGGCUCAGAGCUGCAGCCACGCGUGUCCGUGUUUGUGCCCCAUCAAUGUCCGAAUGCGGGCAGCCACACCGCCGGCCCCCGAUCCAUCCCAUAACCCCCCCUCUCCCCCCCGUAUCCUCACGGCACCCACGCGUGUCCACACCCCCACGUGCCCCCCACCUGUGUCCCAUCCUCACGUGUGGGUACCCACGCAGGACAGCCCCCCCGCAUCCCACUGCCCACCCCGACCCCAGCCCUAAUCCUAAAUCCCAACCCCCACCCCGACCCCCUCUGCACCCUGACCCCCCCGCAUCCCUCUGCCCACACCACGCGUGGGGGGCAGCCAGGCCGCACAUCGCCCACUGGUGUCCCCCUCCCCGCCCCCCCCCAGAAGCAGACACGGACGCUGCGUGGAGUUGAAGCAGAGCUUUGUUUA
rnacentral:lncRNA from 1 species